UGCCAGCAGCCGCGGUAAUACGAAUGGGGCAAGCGUUGUUCGGAAUCACUGGGCUUAAAGCGUACGUAGGCGGACUAACAAGUCAGGAGUGAAAUCCCAGGGCUCAACCCUGGAACUGCUUCUGAAACUGUUAGUCUAGAAUUCUGGAGAGGUUAGUGGAAUUCCUAGUGUAGAGGUGAAAUUCGCAGAUAUUAGGAGGAACACCAGUGGCGAAGGCGACUAACUGGACAGAUAUUGACGCUGAGGUACGAAAGCGUGGGGAGCAAACAGGAUUAGAUA
rnacentral:rRNA from 1 species